CGGGUUGUGGCUUAGUGGUAGAGUACUUGCCUAGCAUGUGUGAGGCACUGGGUUCAAUCCUCAGCACCACGU
rnacentral:tRNA from 1 species